CUCCGUGUGGAUAUAAAUGAAAAGGAAACUUUUGAGAGGGAGCUUCAAAAUCUGGAAGAUGAACAAAAUAACCGUGUUCGUGGCUUUCGAGAGGUGAUCGAUUUGAUUUCUACUUCUCAGAAACCUGUUGUUGCCCACAACUCACUUAGUGAUUUUACAUUCAUUUAUUCAAAAUUCCUUUCCUCACUACCUUCUAGCAUGGAUGAGUUCAGGUGUUCUGUGCGUUUGGUUUUCCCCCACAUACUUGAUGUCAGCCAUCUGAUGAAGGAAAUUGGCCUUAUGAAAAAGAUGAUGCAAGCGAGAGCAAUAUCCAUGGCCAUGAUGUUCUGAGGAUAAGUGAAUUGUUUGCUAAACUGUGCACUAUUCUGAAAAUUGCCCCUGUUAACUCACGAGGAUGAAAAUGGCCAUUUGCCUUCUGUACUUGAAGACUAUACAAACAUUUUCAAUCCUUGCUCCACAAGUUCCCAAGACCACACUAUUGAUGAGGAUGACUCGGUUUGGACAGACAACAGAAGAAAAGUUGACAGUAAGGAUUUGGUUUUCUUGUGGGGAUUUAGAUGUGGGAUGUCUGCUAGAACACUCAAGAAACUUCUCCAUGAUUCCCGUGAUGUGUUCUCUGAAGAAUUUGAUGUUCGACUGCUGGAUAAGAGUUACUUAGAUGUAUUUAAGGUGAGGAUGAAGAAGGGGAAGGCAUUGUCUUACAAUCACGGUAUCCGUGGGAAGGAAGUGACCGAGAUUAUGAUUACGAGGAGCUUUUGCCUUCAUCAAAGCUUCUGUGGAUCACUCUGACUACUCUCACCGUUGUUCACUCCGGCUGUGACAUCACUUUGGCUGCUCGGCUAUUCACUUCGGCUGCUCGACAUCCUGCUCGGCUGCUCGGUGGAUGAAGACUAGAAGCGAAUGGCAAUAUUGACUCCCUUUUUACAGGUCUACAUUUUUUUAAGCUUAAUUUUUUCUUAUCUCUUUAAUGAUUUUGUAUUUAUUGUUGUGUAAACUAAACGUGCACUUCUUUGAUUGAUGAGUGUUGGAAGAGUGGCAAUCUCGAGAGCAGAAUUUACACUAUUUUUGGUUUCAUCGUUAACAAACUUUGAAAAUGAUUGACGUUGUAUAAAGUUAAAGAUUAUUUA